UUGGAGGGCAAGUCUGGUGCCAGCAGCCGCGGUAAUUCCAGCUCCAAUAGCGUAUAUUAAAGUUGUUGCAGUUAAAAAGCUCGUAGUUGAAUUUCGGGGUUAGCAGGUCGGUCGUGCCAUCGGUAUGAACUGGUCUCGCUGAUUCCUCCCUUUUGACGAACCGUGAUGCCAUUAAUUUGGUGUCGGGGAAUCAGGACUGUUACUUUGAAAAAAUUAGAGUGUUUAAAGCAGG
rnacentral:rRNA from 1 species